GGAUAGGCAUAUCCUGGUGUGACGUUUUGAUAACCGUGUAAAUCUCUCUAGGACAACAUUAUUUUUUUCUCAACAUAUUCACCUGUAUUUACCCCCCCAAAAAUGCUAAUGUGGUUAUCAUAAAGAAUUACAAAUGCCAUGAUGAUCUGGACAAGAUUGCCGAAUCAAGACAAAGAUCGAAAUUCACCCAGGCUCAAACAUUACAGUGGGCGACCAUGCAAACAGGCCAACAGUUCCACUGCGAUGGCAAGAGAGCUGUGGUUUUGAUGUUGACAUGUUGCUGAAUAACAACCUGAAAUGUGGCAAAACUAAAAGGGGAGAAGAUGGGGAGAAAAAGACAGAUCCUGAAAAAAGUGAGUAGGUUUUUGUUAAUCGAUAGCAAAAAAGCAUUUAAGUGUGCAGGUAUUGUCAUGAUAUAUAUAAAAAUAUUUGACUUAUUAAUGACUCGUGG
ensembl:lncRNA